rnacentral:rRNA from 1 species
CCUACGGGCGGCAGCAGUGGGGAAUAUUGCACAAUGGGGGAAACCCUGAUGCAGCGACGCCGCGUGAGGGAAGAAGUAUCUCGGUAUGUAAAGCGCUAUCAGCAGGGAAGAAAAUGACGGUAACUGACUAAGAAGCCUCGGCUAACUACGUGCCAGCAGCCGCGGGAAUACGUAGGGGGCAAGCGUUAUUCGGAUUUACUGGGGGUAAAGGGAGCGCAGGCGGCAAGGCAAGCCUGAUGUGAAAGCCCGCGGCCCAACCGCGGGACUGCAUUGGAAACUACCGGGCUGGAGUGCCGGAGAGGUAGGCGGAAUUCCUAGUGUAGCGGUGAAAUGCGUAGAUAUUAGGAGGAACACCAGUGGCGAAGGCGGCCUACUGGACGGUGACUGACGCUGAGGCUCGAAAGCGUGGGGAGCAAACAGGAUUAGAUACCCCUGUAGUC